rnacentral:rRNA from 1 species
CAAGGCUACGAUGGGUAGGGGCUCUUAGUGGUAGGUCCCCCACACUGGCACUGAGAUACGGGCCAGACUCAUACGGGAGGCAGCAGUAGCGAAUAUUGGUCUAUGGGCGCAAGUCUGAACCAGCCAUGCCGCGUGCAGGAUGAAGGCUCUCUGAGUUGUAAACUGCUUUGUACAGGAGCAAAAGAAACCUCUUGGGGUUUCUCGAGAGUACUGUAAGAAUAAGCACCGGCUAAUUCCGUGUCAGCAGCCGCGGUAAUACGGAAGGUGCAAGCCUGAUCCGGUUUAAUUAGGUUAAAAGGGUGCGUAGGCGGCUUAUUAAGUCAGUUGU